GUAACCCUCAAAUCAACCCUCUCAAGUGCACAGAGAAGUGAAAAGUUUGUGUCUUCAGAGCACAUGCCCCCAGCUGCAUGAGGUGAAAGUUUGUCUUCAGAGCACAUGCUUCCAGCUGAAUGAGGCGAAAGUUUGUCUUCAGAGCACAUGCUCCAAGAUGAAUGAGGUGAAAGUUUGUCUUCAGAGCACAUGCUUCCAGCUGAAUGAGUGAAAGUUUGUCUUCAGAGCACAUGCUUCCAGCUGAAUGAGGCGAAAGUUUGUCUUCAGAGCACAUGCUCCAAGAUGAAUGAGGUGAAAGUUUGUCUUCAGAGCACAUGCUUCCAGCUGAAUGAGUGAAAGUUUGUCUUCAGAGCACAUGCUUCCAGCUGAAUGAGUGAAAGUUUGUCUUCAGUGCACAUGCUCCCAGCUGAAUGAGGCGAAAGUUUGUCUUCAGUGCACAUGCUCCCAGAUGAAUGAGUGAAAGUUUGUCUUCAGAGCACAUGCUUCCAGCUGAAUGAGGUGAAAGUUUGUCUUCAGUGCACAUGCUUCCAGCUGAAUGAGUGAAAGUUUGUCUUCAGUGCACAUGCUCCAAGAUGAAUGAGGUGAAAGUUUGUCUUCAGUGCACAUGCUCCCAGAUGAAUGAGGCGAAAGUUUGUCUUCAGAGCACAUGCUUCCAGCUGAAUGAGUGAAAGUUUGUCUUCAGUGCACAUGCUUCCAGCUGAAUGAGUGAAAGUUUGUCUUCAGAGCACAUGCUUCCAGCUGAAUGAGUGAAAGUUUGUCUUCAGAGCACAUGCUUCCAGCUGAAUGAGUGAAAGUUUGUCUUCAGUGCACAUGCUCCCAGAUGAAUGAGGCGAAAGUUUGUCUUCAGUGCACAUGCUUCCAGCUGAAUGAGUGAAAGUUUGUCUUCAGAGCACAUGCUCCCAGCUGAAUGAGUGAAAGUUUGUCUUCAGUGCACAUGCUCCCAGAUGAAUGAGGCGAAAGUUUGUCUUCAGUGCACAUGCUCCCAGCUGAAUGAGUGAAAGUUUGUCUUCAGUGCACAUGCUCCCAGCUGAAUGAGUGAAAGUUUGUCUUCAGUGCACAUGCUCCCAGCUGAAUGAGGGGAAAGUUUGUCUUCAGAGCACAUGCUUCCAGCUGAAUGAGUGAAAGUUUGUCUUCAGAGCACAUGCUUCCAGCUGAAUGAGUGAAAGUUUGUCUUCAGAGCACAUGCUUCCAGCUGAAUGAGUGAGUUUGUCUUCAGAGCACAUGCUUCCAGCUGAAUGAGUGAAAGUUUGUCUUCAGAGCACAUGCUUCCAGCUGAAUGAGUGAAAGUUUGUCUUCAGAGCACAUGCUCCCAGCUGAAUGAGUGAAAGUUUGUCUUCAGUGCACAUGCUCCCAGAUGAAUGAGGCGAAAGUUUGUCUUCAGUGCACAUGCUUCCAGCUGAAUGAGUGAAAGUUUGUCUUCAGAGCACAUGCUCCCAGCUGAAUGAGUGAAAGUUUGUCUUCAGUGCACAUGUUCCCAGAUGAAUGAGGCGAAAGUUUGUCUUCAGAGCACAUGCUCCCAGCUGAAUGAGUGAAAGUUUGUCUUCAGUGCACAUGCUUCCAGCUGAAUGAGUGAAAGUUUGUCUUCAGUGCACAUGCUCCCAGCUGAAUGAGGGGAAAGUUUGUCUUCAGAGCACAUGCUUCCAGCUGAAUGAGUGAAAGUUUAUCUCCAGUGCACAUGCUCCAAGAUGAAUGAGGUGAAAGUUUGUCUUCAGUGCACAUGCUUCCAGUUGAAUGAGUGAAAGUUUGUCUUCAGAGCACAUGCUUCCAGCUGAAUGAGUGAAAGUUUGUCUUCAGUGCACAUGCUCCCAGCUGAAUGAGGCGAAAGUUUGUCUUCAGUGCACAUGCUCCCAGCUGAAUGAGGUGAUGCUCGGCCUUCUGGUUUUAACUCAUACUGUAAGCAACUGUUUUCUUUUCACAGUUUAUUUUUUAUUUUUUAUUUUAUUUUA
rnacentral:lncRNA from 1 species